rnacentral:rRNA from 1 species
GACGAACGCUGGCGGCGUGCUUAACACAUGCAAGUCGAACGGAAAGGCCCUGCUUUUGUGGGGUGCUCGAGUGGCGAACGGGUGAGUAACACGUGAGUAACCUGCCCUUCACUUUGGGAUAACUUCAGGAAACUGGGGCUAAUACCGGAUAGGAGCUCCUGCUGCAUGGUGGGGGUUGGAAAGUUUCGGCGGUUGGGGAUGGAUGCGCGGGUUAUCAGCUUGUUGGUUGGGUAGUGGCUUACCAAGGCUUUGACGGGUAGCCGGCCUGAGUGGGUGGACGGCCACAAUGGGCCUAAGGUACGGCGCAGAGGGCUACGGGAGGCAGCAGUGGGGAAUAUUGCACAAUGGGAGGGAGCCUGAUGCGGCAGCGCCGCGUGCGGGAUGACGGCCUUCUGGUUGUAAACCGCUGUCGCCUGAGACGAAGCGUGAGUGACGGUAAUGGGUAAAGAAGCACCGGCUAACUACGUG